rnacentral:rRNA from 1 species
CCUACGGGCGGCAGCAGUGAGGAAUAUUGGUCAAUGGUCGCGAGACUGAACCAGCCAAGCCGCGUGAGGGAGGAAUGUACAGAGUAUUGUAAACCUCUUUUGUAAAGGAACAAAGACAGGGACGCGUCCCCGGAUGAGUGUACCUGAUGAAAAAGCAUCGGCUAACUCCGUGCCAGCAGCCGCGGUAAUACGGAGGAUUCGAGCGUUAUCCGGAUUUAUUGGGUUUAAAGGGUGCGGAGGUGGGUUGUUAAGUCAGUGGUUAAAGCUUGGGGCUCAACCCUAGAACUGCAGUUGAUACUGGCAGUUUUGAGUACGGGUGAGGUAGGCGGAAUGCGCGGUGUAGCGGUGAAAUGCAUAGAUAUCACGAAGAACUCCGAUUGCGAAGGCAGCAUACUGAACUGCCACUGACGCUGAGGCACGAAAGUGUGGGUAUCGAACAGGAUUAGAUACCCGAGUAGUC